rnacentral:rRNA from 1 species
UACGUAGGGUGCAAGCGUUGUCCGGAAUUAUUGGGCGUAAAGAGCUCGUAGGCGGUCUGUCGCGUCUGCUGUGAAAACUCGGGGCUUAACCCCCGGGCCUGCAGUGGGUACGGGCAGACUAGAGUGCGGUAGGGGAGACUGGAAUUCCUGGUGUAGCGGUGAAAUGCGCAGAUAUCAGGAGGAACACCGGUGGCGAAGGCGGGUCUCUGGGCCGUAACUGACGCUGAGGAGCGAAAGCGUGGGGGAGCGAACAGG